rnacentral:rRNA from 1 species
GGGUUAAGUCCCCGCAACGAGCCGCAACCCCCGCCGUUAGUUGCCAGCGGUUCGGCCGGGCACUCUAACGGGACUGCCCGCGAAAGCGGGAGGAAGGAGGGGGACGACGUCUGGUCAGCAUGGCCCUUACGGCCUGGGCGACACACGUGCUACAAUGCCCACUACAAAGCGAUGCCACCCGGCAACGGGGAGCUAAUCGCAAAAAGGUGGGCCCAGUUCGGAUUGGGGUCUGCAACCCGACCCCAUGAAGCCGGAAUCGCUAGUAAUCGCGGAUCAGCCCAUGCCGCGGUGAAUACGUUCCCGGGCCUU